GAUGAACGCUGGCGGCGUACCUAAUACAUGCAAGUCGAGCGAACGGACGAGAAGCUUGCUUCUCUGAUGUUAGCGGCGGACGGGUGAGUAAUACGUGGAUAACCUACCUAUAAGACUGGGAUAACUUCGGGAAACCGGAGCUAAUACCGGAUAAUAUUUUGAACCGCAUGGUUCAAAAGUGAAAGACGGUCUUGCUGUCACUUAUAGAUGGAUCCGCGCUGCAUUAGCUAGUUGGUAAGGUAACGGCUUACCAAGGCAACGAUGCAUAGCCGACCUGAGAGGGUGAUCUGCCACACUGGAACUAAGACACGGUCCAGACUCCUACGGGAGGCGACAGUAGGGAAUCUUCCGCAAUGGACGAAAGCCUAACGGAGCAACGCCGCGUGGGUGAUGAAGGUCUUCGGAUCGUAAAACUCUGUUAUUAGGGAAGAACAUAUGUGUAAGUAACUGUGCACAUCUUGACGGUACCUAAUCAGAAAGCCACGGCUAACUACGUG
rnacentral:rRNA from 1 species